rnacentral:rRNA from 1 species
UACGGGGGGGGCAAGCGUUGUUCGGAAUUACUGGGCGUAAAGGGUUCGUAGGUGGCUCGCUAAGCCAGACGUGAAAUCCCUCAGCUUAACUGGGGAACUGCGUCUGGGACUGGAGAGCUCGAGUGCAGGAGAGGAAUGCGGAAUUCCAGGUGUAGCGGUGAAAUGCGUAGAUAUCUGGAGGAACACCGGUGGCGAAGGCGGCAUUCUGGACAGUAACUGACUCUGAGGCACGAAGGCUAGGGGAGCGAACGGG